CUUUACUGUAACCUGGAAUUGGGUUCGGGCUUUGCUUGCGCAGGAUAGGUGGGAGACUGAGAAGUGUGCCUUGUGGGGCACAUAGAGUCAACGGUGAGAUACCACUCUGUCAGAGCUAGAAUUCUAACCUUCACCCGUGAUCCGGGGAAGGAACCGUAUCAGGUGGGCAGUUUGACUGGGGCGGUCGCCUCCUAAAAGGUAACGGAGGCGCGCAAAGGUGUUCUCAGGCUGGUUGGAAAUCAGCCGUAGAGUGUAAAGGCAGGAGAACGCUUGACUGUGAGAGUGACAACUCAAGCAGGGUGGAAACACGGCCUUAGUGAUCCGACGGUAUGCGCGUGGAAGUGCCGUCGCUCAACGGAUAAAAGUUA
rnacentral:rRNA from 1 species